AUAUAAAUGUGUUACAACAGUAUUGAAUGUUUUCCCUUAACUUAUUUUUCAGGGACAUCCAGGGAUGGAUGGUAUUUCGGGUCAAAAGGGUGACAUGGUAAGUUUCGACCUGUUUUUUGUUUGCUCCAUAAAGGGACUCUGGUUAUUCUGUAUCAAAUGGGUCAUAUCAUGUUAUAACGUAGGUACUGAUGAACUCAUCAUUCUCUUUGAUAUUUGUUUAGGGUGAAGUGGGUGAAAUGGGUGUAAAGGGAUUACCAGGCCUUGAAGGACCCAUGGGAAUCGCUGGACUGCCAGGUCUGAGGGGGGUUCCAGGCGGCACAGUAAGAUGUAUAUAUUUAUCUUGGUUUUUUUAACAGAAGGGCCGUUUUCUAUUGUAUGAUUCCUAUCUGAGCAGACCUGACUUCUCCCAUAGGGCUUCAGAGGACCAGAUGGAGACAAAGGAGAAGCCGGACCCAAAGGAGACAGGGUAAAGACUUAAAGUAAUGCAGUAGUAUACAGAUCAUGACGUCACCAAGUUCAUAUUAAUCUUGCAAGUUUUUAUUUGUUGUUGUUUGUACCAUUAGUAUUUUUGUUCCUCAGGGUUCUGUCGGCGUGUCCGGGUUUCCGGGCCAUCAGGGGGAUAGGGGUCCGAGUGGACUCCCAGGACAUCCUGGUCUGGGAGGUCAAGCUGGUCCCCAAGGCAUUCAGGGUGAAGACGGAGAGGUUGGCUUCCAGGGGAUGAUUGGAAAGGAAGGGUUAAAGGGCCUCAGGGGGCCUCAAGGCCACAUUGGGAAGUCAGGACCUAAAGGACAAAGGGGUCGCGCUGGACGGCCUGGUCUUUUUGGUAGACCUGGUUUCCCGGUAAGAACACCAUACUCACUGUCAUAUUAAUAUUACAGACAAUCCUUAAAUUAGUGGCCUUAAAUGAUACUGUAGUCAUAUUUAUAACACUGAUCGUUCCGGGCUGUUUGUUAUC
rnacentral:lncRNA from 1 species